rnacentral:rRNA from 1 species
GACGAACGCUGGCGGCGUGCCUAAUACAUGCAAGUAGAACGCACAGGAUGCACCGUAGUUUACUACACCGUAUUCUGUGAGUUGCGAACGGGUGAGUAACGCGUAGGUAACCUGCCUGGUAGCGGGGGAUAACUAUUGGAAACGAUAGCUAAUACCGCAUAAGAACAUUUACUGCAUGGUAGAUGUUUAAAAGGUGCAAGAGCAUCACUACCAGAUGGACCUGCGUUGUAUUAGCUAGUUGGUGAGGUAACGGCUCACCAGGGCAACGAUACAUAGCCGACCUGAGAGGGUGAUCGGCCACACUGGGACUGAGACACGGCCCAGACUCCUACGGGAGGCAGCAGUAGGGAAUCUUCGGCAAUGGGGGGAACCCUGACCGAGCAACGCCGCGUGAGUGAAGAAGGUUUUCGGAUCGUAAAGCUCUGUUGUUAAGGAAGAACGUGUGUGAGAGUGGAAAGUUCACACAGUGACGGUACUUAACCAGAAAGGGACGGCUAACUACGUGCCAGCAGCCGCGGUAAUACGUAGGUCCCGAGCGUUGUCCGGAUUUAUUGGGCGUAAAGCGAGCGCAGGCGGUUAGAUAAGUCUGAAGUGAAAGGCAGUGGCUCAACCAUUGUAGGCUUUGGAAACUGUUUAACUUGAGUGCAGAAGGGGAGAGUGGAAUUCCAUGUGUAGCGGUGAAAUGCGUAGAUAUAUGGAGGAACACCGGUGGCGAAAGCGGCUCUCUGGUCUGUAACUGACGCUGAGGCUCGAAAGCGUGGGGAGCGAACAGG